rnacentral:lncRNA from 1 species
GAAUUAUGGAGAAUAAUACAUUUGGGAAAAAAGAAUGAUCCUCAACCAUUUCUAAACAAAUGAAGAUAUUUGAAUGAUUGUAUCACAGCAGCAGUGCAAGUGAUCUGUGGCUAUUAUAAAGUGGUUGCCCUCCUUUACACAAGAUCCAAACCAAUCUCAAGAAUUAAGCAAAAGCACACAUAUGCUGUCUGAACAUGUUAGGAGAACUUGGAAUGCAGGCAACCUGCGGCCAGUAAGAUUCUAAAGGGAAGGAGUCAACAUUCAUCUUGAUGCUUUCAGUAUCGGCUGUCAUGAAGUGGCAACUAACAAGCUGCCUUUCCUGGAGAAGGGGAAAGUGUGACCUCAUGUAACUAGAGGGAGUGAACCUCGAGGAUUGUGGUCAUGUCCAGUGCUUGAGGGCUGGGAAGAUCCAUAGAUGCCAGCCUGUGUCAACCUAUCUUGAAGACUGUGACCCUGUCACCAACCAAGGCUUCCUCUGUUCCAAGACCCCUGAAUCUUUCUGUGGAAGAUUCAAAGAACAAUUUAUUUUAAACACUGAAAUCUUAGCAAAUGCUGGCAUCACUGAGCUUGGUCAUAAAAAAGUCCCUGACCCAACUGCUCACUGUCCCCAGAGUCCUCAGGAGCAGAGCCAAACUGGAGAUGACCCACUCUGGUAUCACUGCCUUAAGUCUCUGUCGGGAUCAUUCCAGAUGCAUAUCCACAGGGUGUAUUAGAAGCCCACUGUUCCCAGAAGAUAAGGCGACCUGACACCAUCCUGAAUUGAACCAAUAGGAUAGGAAAGGUGAUUGUGAGAGGUGAGGAAGUCUGCAUUCUCCCGCCUCAUGUAAGUAAAGAUUUGCUUGUCUGUAAUGAGUAGGAUUGCCAGUGUAAAUAUUCCAGAGUGAAACCAUAGAUUACCAAGUAGAGCCGACCUGCCUGACAACAGCCUUAUCCAUGAGUGUGACCAACUCACAAAAUUUCCAUUAUACUUACAUCAGUAAAGUCCAAACAUUUUUGUCACAAAAUUUAAGCUGAUGAAAAGCUGGAUAAAUCUAAAGCAACUGGAUUUUGCAAUGCGUGGUGGGAGUUAACGUGUGGGUGUUCACUUCAACUCUUCUUUGAAAUUCAGCCUUUAAAAUCUAUCAUUGGAAUGUAAGAUGUUAAUAUGUUAUCAAAGGACCCACUGGCUAUGGGAAAGGGUGGGGCCAGGGCAGCACUGAGAUUUCAGGCAUUGGUGGUAGUUAGGGCACUUUCUAAAGGCUUGCUUAGCUUUUACCACCUGGUGUGAAAGGAGGGGUGUUUUCUGUAUAAGCGCUGUGAGCACACUCUCAUCUUUUUCUCUCCUCUUCACAUUGUCAGCACUGUAUAGGCAAAGAGGAUCUGCAGCCUUUGUUUCAGAGGCCCUAGUCAAGAGUCCUUCCCCAUAGGUCCAGGUGCCUACAGAGGGCAGCUACUGAUGGUAUCAGUGCUCCCUAGGGCAGGCUGCAGGGGGCGGAGGGGGGUACCACCUACCCGAAUUGGACUCACUAGAGUUGCACAUCAGACCAGCAGAUUCCAGGUUCCACUGCAGAUUUGCUGACUGGAAUCUGAGGGAAAGGGCAGUUCAAGGGCGCGGCCAGUGGGUGCCUGCCUUCUGGUGCCUAAUGCUCAACCCCAGUGAUUCUUAUUCCAAAGGAAAUUUCAAAAACAUUGCCUAGUGCGAACUGCAACCGAGUGCACAUCCAAAUCAUUUGGGGAACUUUGAAAAACACCUCUCAC